rnacentral:rRNA from 1 species
UACGGAGGGGGCUAGCGUUAUUCGGAAUUAUUGGGCGUAAAGGGCGUGUAGGCGGCUUCGUAAGUCUUGUGUGAAAGCCCUCGGCUCAACCGAGGAAUUGCACGAGAAACUGCGUGGCUCGAGUCCGGGAGAGGAUAGUGGAAUUCCCAGUGUAGCGGUGAAAUGCGUAGAUAUUGGGAGGAACACCGGUGGCGAAGGCGGCAUCCUGGACCGACACUGACGCUGAGGCGCGAAAGCUAGGGGAGCAAACGGG